rnacentral:piRNA from 1 species
ACUUGCAUAUGAGUGCUUGGCUCUUCUGU